rnacentral:siRNA from 1 species
CACGAACUUUCAAAUUUGGGACG